rnacentral:rRNA from 1 species
CUGCCCUGCACAGGGGGACAACAGCUAGAAAUGGCUGCUAAUACCGCAUAAGCCUACAGCCUCGCAUGAGGGAGUAGGAAAAGAAAUUCGGUGCAGGAUGAGUCCGCGUCUGAUUAGCUAGUUGGAGGGGUAAAAGCCCACCAAGGCAACGAUCAGUAGCCGGCCUGAGAGGGCGACCGGCCACAUUGGGACUGAGACACGGCCCAAACUCCUACGGGAGGCAGCAGUGGGGAAUAUUGCACAAUGGGGGAAACCCUGAUGCAGCGACGCCGCGUGAGCGAGGAAGUAUUUCGGUAUGUAAAGCUCUAUCAGCAGGGACGAAAAAAGACGGUACCUGACUAAGAAGCCCCGGCUAACUACGUGCCAGCAGCCGCGGUAAUACGUAGGGGGCAAGCGUUAUCCGGAUUUACUGGGUGUAAAGGGAGCGUAGACGGCAAGGCAAGCCAGAAGUGAAAGGGCAGGGCUCAACCCUGUACAUGCUUUUGGAACUGUGGUGCUAGAGUGCAGGAGAGGUAAGUGGAAUUCCUAGUGUAGCGGUGAAAUGCGUAGAUAUUAGGAGGAACACCAGUGGCGAAGGCGGCUUACUGGACUGUAACUGACGUUGAGGCUCGAAAGCGUGGGGAGCAAACAGGAUUAGAUACCCUGGUAGUCCACGCUGUAAAC